AGAGUUUGAUUAUGGCUCAGAUUGAACGCUGGCGGCAGGCCUAACACAUGCAAGUCGAGCGGUAGAGAGAAGCUUGCUUCUCUUGAGAGCGGCGGACGGGUGAGUAAUGCCUAGGAAUCUGCCUGGUAGUGGGGGAUAACGUUCGGAAACGGACGCUAAUACCGCAUACGUCCUACGGGAGAAAGCAGGGGACCUUCGGGCCUUGCGCUAUCAGAUGAGCCUAGGUCGGAUUAGCUAGUUGGUGAGGUAAUGGCUCACCAAGACGACGAUCCGUAACUGGUCUGAGAGGAUGAUCAGUCACACUGGAACUGAGACACGGUCCAGACUCCUACGGGAGGCAGCAGUGGGGAAUAUUGGACAAUGGGCGAAAGCCUGAUCCAGCCAUGCCGCGUGUGUGAAGAAGGUCUUCGGAUUGUAAAGCACUUUAAGUUGGGAGGAAGGGCAGUUACCUAAUACGUGAUUGUUUUGACGUUACCGACAGAAUAAGCACCGGCUAACUCUGUGCCAGCAGCCGCGGUAAUACAGAGGGUGCAAGCGUUAAUCGGAAUUACUGGGCGUAAAGCGCGCGUAGGUGGUUAGUUAAGUUGGAUGUGAAAUCCCCGGGCUCAACCUGGGAACUGCAUUCAAAACUGACUGACUAGAGUAUGGUAGAGGGUGGGUGGAAUUUCCUGUGUAGCGGUGAAAUGCGUAGAUAUAGGAAGGAACACCAGUGGCGAAGGCGACCACCUGGACUGAUACUGACACUGAGGUGCGAAAGCGUGGGGAGCAAACAGGAUUAGAUACCCUGGUAGUCCACGCCGUAAACGAUGUCAACUAGCCGUUGGGAGCCUUGAGCUCUUAGUGGCGCAGCUAACGCAUUAAGUUGACCGCCUGGGGAGUACGGCCGCAAGGUUAAAACUCAAAUGAAUUGACGG
rnacentral:rRNA from 1 species